rnacentral:ncRNA from 1 species
UACCUGGUUGAUCCUGCCAGUAGCAUAUGCUUGUCUGAAAGAUUAAGCCAUGCAUGUCUAAGUACGCAAGGCCUGUACAGUGAAACUGUGAAUGGCUCAUUUAGUUAUGGUUCCUUUGGUCGCUCGCUCCUCUCCUACUUGGAUAACUGUGGUAAUUCUAGAGCUAAUACAUGACGACGGGCACUGACCCCCCCACGCUGGGGGAUGCGUGCAUCUAUCAGAUCAAAACCAACCCGGUCAGCCUCCCCUCUGCCCCUCGCGGGCUGUGGGGGGCUAGCGCCGGUGGCUUUGGUGACUCUAGAUAAGCUUAGGCCAAUCACACGCCCCCUGUGGCGGUGACGACCCAUUCGCACAUCUGCCUUAUCAAGUUUUGGUGGUAGUCGCCAUGCCUACCAUGGUGACCACGGGUGACGGGGAAUCAGGGUUCGAUUCCGGAGAGGGAGCCUGAGAAACGGCUACCACAUCCAAGGAAGGCAGCAGGCGCGCAAAUUACCCACUCCCGACCCGGGGAGGUAGUGACGAAAAAUAAUACAGGACUCUUUUGAGGCCCUGUAAUUGGAAUGA